UAACUUGAGAGUUUGAUCCUGGCUCAGGACGAACGCUGGCGGCGUGCCUAACACAUGCAAGUCGAGCGGAGGUGUUGGAAGGUGAAAGCCGGAAGACACCUUAGCGGCGGACGGGUGAGUAACACGU
rfam:Thermovenabulum gondwanense strain R270 ATZ99_contig000009, whole genome shotgun sequence.